GACAGAGGUCUCGAGCGUUGUUCGGAUUCACUGGGCGUAAAGGGUGCGUAGGCGGCCGGGUAAGUCUGAUGUGAAAUCUCACAGCUUAACUGUGAAACUGCAUUGGAUACUAUCCGGCUUGAGGAAUGGAGGGGAGACUGGAAUACUUGGUGUAGCAGUGAAAUGCGUAGAUAUCAAGUGGAACACCAGUGGCGAAGGCGAGUCUCUGGACAUUUCCUGACGCUGAGGCACGAAAGCCAGGGGAGCAAACGGG
rnacentral:rRNA from 1 species